UACGUAGGGACCAAGCGUUGUCCGGAAUCAUUGGGCGUAAAGAGCGUGUAGGCGGCCAACUAAGUCCUGCGUGAAAUCUCGGGGCUCAACCCCGAGCGGUCGUGGGAAACUGGUUGGCUAGAGUGCGGGAGAGGAGAGUGGAAUUCCAGGUGUAGCGGUGAAAUGCGUAGAUAUCGGGAGGAACACCUGUGGCGAAAGCGGCGCACUGGACCACAUCUGACGCUGAGGCGCGAAAGCGUGGGGAGCAAACAGG
rnacentral:rRNA from 1 species